AUAAAACGAUGAUGGGGAUUAGUAUGAAUCCGGGCUAUGCAAGAGAACUGGUGGUUGGUGCGAACCAGGGUAGCCGCGUUCUGAAUCCACCCCGGAUGCAGACUCUAAAAAAGUCUCGGUGGUUCCGUUAUAACCUUUCAAGCGGGUAUGUUAUACCAACUAGGGUGGCAACGCGGGAAAUACCUCUCGUCCCUGAU
rnacentral:ncRNA from 1 species